rnacentral:rRNA from 1 species
UACGAAGGGGGCUAGCGUUGCUCGGAAUCACUGGGCGUAAAGGGUGCGUAGGCGGGUUUUUAAGUCAGGGGUGAAAUCCUGGAGCUCAACUCCAGAACUGCCUUUGAUACUGAAGAUCUUGAGUUCGGGAGAGGUGAGUGGAACUGCGAGUGUAGAGGUGAAAUUCGUAGAUAUUCGCAAGAACACCGGUGGCGAAGGCGGCCUGCUGGGACGUGGCUGACGCUGAGGCGCGACAGCGUGGGGAGCAAACAGG